CCACUCAUUAAAAGAGUGCGUAAUAGCUCACUGGUCGAGUGACUCUGCGCCGAAAAUUUAACGGGGCUAAACUAUACACCGAAGCUUGGGAUACAUCUAAUGUAUGGUAGGAGAGCGUUCUGUAUGGGGAGAAGUCGUAGCGAAAGCGGCGGUGGACUGUACAGAAGUGAGAAUGCCGGAAUAAGUAGCGAGAAUUAAGUGAGAAUCUUAAUGGCCGAAAGUCUAAGGUUUUUGGAGGAAGGUUCGUCCGCUCCAAGUAAGUCGGGAGCUAAGGUCAGGCCGAAAGGCGUAGCCGAUGCACAUACGGUUGAUAUUCCGUAACCAUCUGUAAUUUAAGCAAAGGGACACUUCAAAAGGGUGUGACCCGGGCGUUGGUUGACCCGGGCGUAAGGGACCGAAAUUAGAGUAGGGAAGCACACUUGGCUGAAGGCGAGAAAAGCUUUGCGUAUAGAAACAGAUGCCCGUACCGCAAACCGACACAGGUGGACAGGAAGAGAAUUCUAAGGCCAGCGGGAGAAGGGUAGUUAAGGAACUCGGCAAAUUGACUCCGUAACUUCGGAAUAAGGAGUGCUCGAAAGAGCCGCAGAGAAUAGGCCCAGGCGACUGUUUAGCAAAAACACAGGUCUCUGCCAAAUCGAAAGAUGAAGUAUAGGGGCUGACACCUGCCCGGUGCCGGAAGGUUAAGAGGAGGAGUGAGAGCUCCGAAUUGAAGCCCCGGUAAACGGCGGCCGUAACUAUAACGGUCCUAAGGUAGCGAAAUUCCUUGUCGGGUAAGUUCCGACCCGCACGAAUGGUGUAACGAUCUGGGCACUGUCUCAACUACCCACCCGGCGAAAUUGUAGUACCGGUGAAGAUGCCGGUUACCUGCGGCAAGACGGAAAGACCCCAUGGAGCUUUACUGUAGCCUGAUAUUGGGUUUCGGAAAUCUAUGUACAGGAUAGGCGGGAGACUGGGAAACAUGAGCGUCAGCUUGUGUGGAGUCGAUGUUGGGAUACCGCCCUUAGGUUUCUGGAAUUCUAACCUGCGGCCGUGAAUCCGGUCGGGGGACAUUGUCAGGUGGGCAGUUUGACUGGGGCGGUCGCCUCCGAAAAGGUAACGGAGGCGCUCAAAGGUUAGCUCAGCACGGACGGAAACCGUGCCUCUGAGUGUAAACGCAAAAGCUAGCCUAACUGCGAGGGUGACGGCCCGAGCAGUAACGAAAGUUGGAGUUAGUGAUCCGGCGGUAUGUGAAUGGAAAUGCCGUCGCUCAACGGAUAAAAGCUACCCUGGGGAUAACAGGCUGAUCUCCCCCAAGAGUCCACAUCGACGGGGAGGUUUGGCACCUCGAUGUCGGCUCAUCACAUCCUGGGGCUGUAUUCGGUCCCAAGGGUUCGGCUGUUCGCCGAUUAAAGUGGUACGCGAGCUGGGUUCAGAACGUCGCGAGACAGUUCGGUCCCUAUCUGUCGUGGGCGCAGGAUAUUUGAGGAGCUCUGUCCUUAGUACGAGAGGACCGGGAUGGACGUACCUCUGGUGCACCAGUUGUCAUGCCAAUGGCACGGCUGGGCAGCUAUGUACGGAACGGAUAAACGCUGAAAGCAUCUAAGCGUGAAGCCGACUCCAAGAUUAGAUAUCCCAUCGUAUAACGAGUAAGACCCCUUGAAGACUACGAGGUUGAUAGGCUGCGUGUGUAAGUGCCGUGAGGCAUUCAGCUUGGCAGUACUAAUAGGUCGAGGGCUUGACCA
rnacentral:rRNA from 1 species